CUGAGUGCUUGUGUGGCAGAGCGAAGAUUGCAUCUGAGUGACAUUGUGCUACUUUCUUAUAUUUUUUGAAGGCGUGACUUAACUUUCCAUUCUACAACGGGAAUACAUGUGUUUAUGCAUGUACUAGUAUGUUUAUUAAUAAAGUGAGAUGACGAUGCUGACAAUGGUAAACCGAACCAUGUGCCAAGGAAGAUUUCCCUUGGAGGUCAGAGUUGGUGUCUAAAUCUUAAAGAAAAAUGGUUGAUGAGAAUGAACAGUUACAUCCCACUCAAUUGACAAAGAUUCAAACUGUCCAUAACCUCUAGAAAAUGAAGUAGCGAAGCACAAGAAGCGCAGAAGAGCCUCUAGACCUACCCCGCACGGCUUCCCUAGAUACCAUGACAUAGAUUCCCCGCGGAUAUCGGACAGGAACAGAAGACGUAACCCGCUCAUUCCGGGUAUCCACAGCACCCGCAUCCGCACCACCAUGCCACACACGCCAAGAAAAGCUCUCAAGGUUACCACGGAGAUUGACGUCCAUGCGGUGUCAUGCCCGGGGGUGUGGCUGCCGGGGCGGGGGCGCUGCUCCCUCUCCGUGUGUCUCCUUGGCUUCCACACGCGGACCAACAAGCUGCCGCCUGUCUUCCCGCUCCUCUACCACGAGAAGUUCAAGUUCGAAAGGGUGAGUA